ACUGGGGAGCUCCAGCUCCAGCUCCAGCCCCAGGCUGCGGCCCAGCAGUGGGCCAACAGGUAUGGAGGCAUGCAUGUCUACACGCGAUCAGAUGAAGGGAACUGGGGCUGGGAGUAACGUCUUGCAGAGGAGAAGUGUCUACAUGCUGGAGGAAGCAUGCACUCCUGAAUCAAUCCCUGAUGUCGGCAGAACUCUUGUGCAAGGAAGCAAACGGUAAAAUUGGGGAUGGAGACUGCAACCCCAGGAAGCAUUCCUGCUGCUUGAAGCGAGGUCAAUGAACUUUGAGAGAGAGAGAGACCUUUUGAAGAUUUACUGGUCUGUAAAGAGAGGGCAGAGAACCCCUAAAUUAUCCUUCACCUGAGGAGACCAGGAAAACCAGCACCUUGGACUCUGUGGGGAUCCUGACUAAGAGCUAGUCAGCCACUGCUGGAAAGGGAAGAUUGGUGAGGUGAUGCAGAGGAAGGACCUCCAUGCACAUGGUACUGCAUAUAAAUGCCAUACUCAAAGGUAUGUGUGUCACUUCAGAGUGGCAGAGUCUCUGAGUGCAUCUACUAGAACAGCUGCAAACAUGAUACUUGAUAAUGUUGGAGCAAGAACAUAGCCUCGUUUUACUCCACUGAUGACAACAAAGGAAGCUAAGAAUGCAGGACAUGAACUUGCAUUCCUGCAUGAAAAGAUUGAAUAAUGUUGACAAACUUAUUGGGCAACUGAACAUGUGGAUGACUGUCUACAGGCCAUCUCAAUUUACAGAGUCAAAGGCCUUAGUAAAAUUGAUAACAACUACAUAUAGGUUUUGAUUCUGCUCACAUUUCUCCUGAAUUUACUGGAGUGCAAAGAUCAUGUCUGAAGUACCACUCCUAAAACAGAAGCCACAGUGGCUUUCAGGCAAUAUCUUCUCUGCAAGUUGAUUGGUUAGCAGUGGCAAGGAACAAGAUGCCCCGAUGGUUAUUGCUAGAAGUGUGACUGCCUUUCCUUUUCUAAAGGUGAAUAAUGUUGGCAUCUUUAAGUUCCUCCUGUUCCUAAAACCUCAUAUAGAGGUCAGUGAGCUUCCUGAUUAGCUCAUGGCCCCCAUAUUAGAAGAUCUCUGCAGGAAUGCCAUAAGGAUUUGCUGCUUUGCUGUUUCACAUUGGCUUGACAGUUUUCCAUACUUCAGAAAUGAGAUUUGGAAGUUGUUCAGGAUCAUUAGGUGUUGAUGCUGAUGUAGUGGAUGGGCAGUUCAGAACCUUAUUAAAGAGCCUAGCCUAUCUUUUCAGAAUUUGUCCAUGAUCAGUCAGCAGCAAUGAUGAAUGUACAUUCUAGAUCAGGGGUGGGCAAACUUUUUGGCCUGAGGGCCGCAUCGGGUUUCAUAAAUUGUAUGGAGGGCCGGUUAGGGGAGGGGGUCAUGGCCCGGCCCCCACCUCCUAUCUGC